rnacentral:lncRNA from 1 species
ACCUAGAGACUGAAGAAAAGGUAAUGCAGAUCCUCGCUGCGGACACGAACACAAAAAACUUGUCAGCUAAUGAUCAUUCUGAAUCUGAGUGGGAACUUCUCUAGAUAUGACGCUGUUAUAAAAUUGUAGUGUUGCUCUUGCCAUUUGCCAAUCAAUAGAUGGCUUUGUACAGAAAAGUAAGAGGAAGCAGCUGGGGUUGUUAUUAUAAGCCAAUUAUUCUCUUUAAGAAAGGUUAUUACUAAUUUGAGAAUGGACAUAGACUCCUCCAGUUAUAACCAGUUAAUAAUCAAUAGAUGGCUUUGUACAGAAAAGAAAGAGGAAGCAGCAGGGGUUGUUAUUAUAAGCCAAUUAUUCUCUUUAAGAAAGGUUAUUACUAAUUUGAGAAUGGACAUA